rnacentral:tRNA from 1 species
GGCGUAGUAGCUCAACGGUCAGAGCGCCACCCUGUCAAGGUGGAAGGUGGCAGUUCGAAUCUGCUCUACGUCGCCA